rnacentral:rRNA from 1 species
UUGACCUCGGAUCAGGUAGGAAUACCCGCUGAACUUAAGCAUAUCAAUAAGCGGAGGAAAAGAAACCAACAGGGAUUACCCUAGUAACGGCGAGUGAAGCGGUAACAGCUCAAAUUUGAAAUCUGACCUUCACGGGUCCGAGUUGUAAUUUGUAGAGGAUGUUUCGGACAAGGCUUUGGUUUAAGUUUCUUGGAACAGAACGUCAUAGAGGGUGAGAGUCCCGUCUAGAACCGAUAGCCGCGUUCAUGUGAAACUCCUUCGACGAGUCGAGUUGUUUGGGAAUGCAGCUCAAAAUGGGUGGUAAAUUUCAUCUAAAGCUAAAUAUUGGCCAGAGACCGAUAGCGCACAAGUAGAGUGAUCGAAAGAUGAAAAGCACUUUGAAAAGAGAGUUAAACAGUAUGUGAAAUUGUUGAAAGGGAAGCGCUUGCAACCAGACUUGUGUUUAACGGUUCCCCCGUGUCUUUUGACCGGGCUAUUCCGUUAUAUCCAGGCCAGCAUCGGUUCGGGUGGUUGGUUAAAGGCCUUGGGAAUGUAUCUACCUUCG